GCUAGCGUAGCUCAACGGUAGAGCACCUGAUUUGUAAUCUGGAGGUUACGGGUUCAAGUCCCGUCGCUAGCUCCA
rnacentral:tRNA from 1 species